rnacentral:rRNA from 1 species
UACGGGGGGGGCAAGCGUUGUUCGGAAUUACUGGGCGUAAAGGGCUCGUAGGCGGCCAACUAAGUCAGACGUGAAAUCCCUCGGCUUAACCGGGGAACUGCGUCUGAUACUGGAUGGCUUGAGUCCGGGAGAGGGAUGCGGAAUUCCAGGUGUAGCGGUGAAAUGCGUAGAUAUCUGGAGGAACACCGGUGGCGAAGGCGGCAUUCUGGACCGAAACUGACGCUGAUGCGCGAAAGCCAGGGGAGCAAACGGG